rnacentral:rRNA from 1 species
GACGAACGCUGGCGGCGUGCCUAAUACAUGCAAGUUGAGCGAUGAAGAUUGGUGCUUGCACCAAUUUGAAGAGCAGCGAACGGGUGAGUAACGCGUGGGGAAUCUGCCUUUGAGCGGGGGACAACAUUUGGAAACGAAUGCUAAUACCGCAUAACAACUUUAAACAUAAGUUUUAAGUUUGAAAGAUGCAAUUGCAUCACUCAAAGAUGAUCCCGCGUUGUAUUAGCUAGUUGGUGAGGUAAAGGCUCACCAAGGCGAUGAUACAUAGCCGACCUGAGAGGGUGAUCGGCCACAUUGGGAAUGAGACACGGCCCAAACCCCUAAGGGAGGCAGCAGGAGGGAAUCUUCGGCAAUGGACGAAAGUCUGAACGAGCAACGCCGCGGGAGGGAAGAAGGUUUUCGGAUCGUAAAAAUCUGUUGGUAGAGAAGAACGUUGGUGAGAGUGGAAAGCUCAUCAAGUGACGGUAACUACCCAGAAAGGGACGGCUAACUACGUG